rnacentral:rRNA from 1 species
AUGGGGAACGCGCGGGACGCCGCCAGGAAGGCCAAGAAGGGGGCCCCGGCCGCCUCCGGGGUCCCGUCUCCCAAGAAGCCCAGGACGAAGACGGCCGCCGAGGCCGACGGCGCGACGGCCGAGCCGGCGGUGGACGAGAAACCGCCUUCGCCGGCCAAGUCGCCCGUUAAGUCGAAGCGCCCAUCGUCGCCACCCAAGUCCAAGUCGAAGGCCGACGACGCUCCUGAGGCCAAGAAGAGGUCCCCGUCGCCCACGACGUCCAAAACGCUAGCCGCGGCCGCGAAAUUGGAGGCCGCGGAGAAGCCCCUCUCGCCGAAGAGGGCCAAAACCCUAGCGGCCAAAUCUGACGCUAAGCCCUCUGACCAAGCCCUUGUCUCUCAAUCUAAAGACCAGGCGUCUCAACCCGAGGAUAAGAAGACCAAAAUCUCAAAUGCCACCAAGUCAGAGGAGGUGAAUACCACUCUCGAGCUCAAGAAGAAAGGCAGUGAGUUUGAUCCCAUGGCUGCUGCCUACUGGAAGCCCGGCGAGCCUGUGCCAUUCCUCUUCUUGGCUCGGGCACUCGACCUCAUCUCCAACGAGUCUGGCCGGAUUGUCAUUACAGAGAUCCUGUCAAACGUGUUCCGUACGAUUAUUGCCACAACUCCAGAGGAUCUCCUUGCGACAGUAUACCUCUCCGCUAACCGGAUUGCGCCACCUCACGAAGGGAUUGAGCUUGGUAUUGGGGAUGCAUCAAUCAUCCGUGCACUUUCCGAGGCAUACGGCCGCAAAGAGGAGCAUGUCAAAAAGAACCUCAAGGAAUUGGGUGAUUUGGGGCUUGUGGCGAAAGCAAGCAGGUCGUCACAGAAGAUGAUGUACAAGCCAAAACCACUGACGAUAUCACGUGUGCUUGAUACCUUUCGGACAAUCGCAAAGGAAUCUGGCAAAGACAGUCAAGAUAAGAAAAGAAGUCAUAUCAAAGGACUUCUUGUUGCUGCAACAGACUGUGAACCUCAAUACAUUAUACGACUUCUUCAGUCGAAGAUGCGUAUUGGGUUGGCAGAGAAAACUGUCCAAAUGGCUCUUGGGCAAGCUGCUGUAUAUUCUGAAAAAGGGUCCCCGCCAAAAAAAGUCCAAUCACCUUUUGAAGAGGCUGCAAAAAUAAUUAAAGAAGCAUAUUCGGUUCUUCCAGUCUAUGAUAAAAUUGUCCCGACUCUUCUUGAUGCUGGUGUUUGGAAACUUCCAGAAACAUGCAAUUUCUCCAUAGGUGUCCCUGUUGGUCCUAUGUUGGCAAAAGCAACAAAAUCUGUAUCAGAGAUUAUUGACAAGUUUCAAGGUCGUGAGUACACUUGUGAGUACAAGUAUGAUGGUGAACGGGCCCAGAUUCAUUGCAUGGAGGAUGGAACAGUAGAAAUUUAUAGUCGGAACGCUGAAAGGAAUACUGGGAAGUACCCUGAUGUUGUUGAUGCAAUUUCUAGAAUCCGAAAGCCUACAGUUAAGUCAUUUGUCCUAGAUUGUGAAAUUGUUGCUUAUGACCGCGAAAAGAAGAGAAUUUUACCCUUUCAGAUACUCAGCACAAGGGCCCGCAAGGGUGUUACUAUAAAUGACAUCAAAGUAUCAGUCUGUACUUUUGGCUUUGAUAUUCUUUACAUCAAUGGGAAACCUCUUCUCCAGGAACAACUUAAAGUUCGACGAGAGCAUCUUUACAACUCUUUCGAGGAAGUGCCAGGUGUUUUUCAACUGGCAACUGCAAUUACAUCAAAUGACCUCGAGGAGAUACAGAAAUUUCUUGACUUAUCUGUCAACUCCAGUUGUGAAGGGUUGAUUAUCAAGACAUUGGAUACAGAUGCUACAUAUGAGCCAGCGAAGCGGUCAAACAAUUGGUUGAAAUUGAAGAAAGAUUACAUGGACAGUGUUGGAGACUCUUUAGACUUAGUGCCAAUUGCUGCUUUUCAUGGAAGAGGAAAACGAACUGGUGUAUAUGGAUCGUUCCUCUUGGCAUGCUAUGAUGAGCAUAAUGAAGAAUACCAAACAAUCUGCAAUAUAGGUACUGGAUUUUCUGAGCAACAACUUGAAGAACGUUCUACGAGCCUUCGAAGUAAAGUAAUAAAGAACCCAAAGGCAUAUUAUAGGUUCGCUGACACAACUGACCCAGAUGUGUGGUUUGAGCCGUCAGAGGUGUGGGAGGUCAAAGCUGCUGAUUUGAGCAUAAGUCCAGUUCAUCGUGCUGCUAAUGGGAUAGUUGAUCCAAAUAAGGGCAUCUCUCUAAGAUUUCCUCGUUUGUUGCGGGUCCGUGAUGAUAAAAACCCAGAACAUGCAACCACAGCUGAGCAAGUUGCUGACAUGUAUCGUGCUCAAAAAAUAAACCACUCGCACAACCAAGAAGAUGAGGAUGAUGACUGA